rnacentral:rRNA from 1 species
GAUGAACGCUAGCGGCAGGCUUAUUACAUGCAAGUCGAGGGGCAGCAUGAUUGUAGCAAUACAAUUGAUGGCGACCGGCAAACGGGUGCGGAACACGUACACAACCUUCCAACAAGUGGGGGAUAGCCCAGAGAAAUUUGGAUUAAUACCCCGUAACAUAGCGAUGUGGCAUCACAUUGCUAUUAUAGAUUUUUCGCUUGUUGAUGGGUGUGCGGCGGAUUAGAUAGUUGGCGGGGUAACGGCCCACCAAGUCUACGAUCAGUAGCUGAUGUGAGAGCAUGAUCAGCCACACGGGAACGGAGACACGGGACCGACUCCUACGGGAGGCAGCAGUAAGGAAUAUUGGACAAUGGACGCAAGUCUGAUCCAGCCAUGCCGCGUGAAGGAUUAAGGUCCUCUGGAUUGUAAACUUCUUUUAUAAGGGACGAAAAAAGGCUUUUCUAAGUCGUCUGACGGUACCUUAUGAAUAAGCACCGGCUAACUCCGUGCCAGCCGCCGCAGUAAUAC